UGGGGAAUAUUGGACAAUGGGCGCAAGCCUGAUCCAGCAAUGCCGCGUGUGUGAAGAAGGCCUUCGGGUUGUAAAGCACUUUUAUCAGGAGCGAAAUACCACGGGUCAAUACCCUGUGGGGCUGACGGUACCUGAGGAAUAAGCACCGGCUAACUUCGUGCCAGCAGCCGCGGUAAUACGAAGGGUGCAAGCGUUAAUCGGAAUUACUGGGCGUAAAGGGUGCGUAGGCGGUUACUUAAGUCUGUCGUGAAAUCCCCGGGCUCAACCUGGGAAUGGCGAUGGAUACUGGGUGGCUAGAGUGUGUCAGAGGAUGGUGGAAUUCCCGGUGUAGCGGUGAAAUGCGUAGAGAUCGGGAGGAACAUCAGUGGCGAAGGCGGCCAUCUGGGACAACACUGACGCUGAAGCACGAAAGCGUGGGGAGCAAACAGG
rnacentral:rRNA from 1 species